rnacentral:rRNA from 1 species
UACGUAGGAGACGAGCGUUGUCCGGAGUUACUGGGCGUAAAGGGUGCGCAGGCGGCCCUGCGCGUCGCGAGUGAAAUCUCCCGGCUCAACUGGGAGGGUGGUCGCGAGACGGCAGGGCUUGAGGCUCGGUGAGGGGCGUGGAAUCCGGGUGGAGCGGUGAAAUGCGUAGAGAUCCGGAGGAACACCAACGGCGUAGGCAGCGCCCUAGACGAGACCUGACGCUCAGGCACGAAAGCGCGGGGAGCGAACAGG